rnacentral:rRNA from 1 species
CCUACGAGAGGCAGCAGUGAGGAAUAUUGGUCAAUGGACGCAAGUCUGAACCAGUCAUGCCGCGUGCAGGAAGACGGCUCUAUGAGUUGUAAACUUCUUUUAUAAAGGAAUAAAGUGAGGCACGUGUGCCUUUUUGUAUGUACUUUAUGAAUAAGGAUCGGCUAACUCCGUACCAGCAGCCGCGGUAAUACGGAGGAUCCGAGCGUUAUCCGGAUUGAUUGGGUUUAAAGGGAGCGUAGAUGGGUUGUUAAGUCAGUUGUGAAAGUUUGCGGCUCAACCGUAAAAUUGCAAUUGAUACUGGCAGUCUUGAGUACAGUUGAGGUAGGCGGAAUUCGUGGUGUAGCGGUGAAAUGCUUAGAUAUCACGAAGAACUCCGAUUGCGAAGGCAGCUUACUAAACUGCCACUGACAUUGAUGCUCGAAAGUGUGGGUAUCAAACAGGAUUAGAUACCCGAGUAGUC